rfam:Acidobacteria bacterium RIFCSPLOWO2_02_FTLL_65_29 rifcsplowo2_02_scaffold_17474, whole genome shotgun sequence.
UAACAUGAGAGUUUGAUCCUGGCUCAGAAUCAACGCUGGCGGCGUGCCUAACACAUGCAAGUCGAACGCGAAAGUCCCGCAAGGGAUCAGUA